rnacentral:rRNA from 1 species
UACGUAGGGUGCAAGCGUUUAUCCGGAAUUAUUGGGCGUAAAGAGCUCGUAGGCGGUUUGUCGCGUCUGCUGUGAAAACUGGAGGCUCAACCUCCAGCCUGCAGUGGGUACGGGCAAACUAGAGUGCGGUAGGGGAGAUUGGAAUUCCUGGUGUAGCGGUGAAAUGCGUAGAUAUCAGGAGGAACACCGGUGGUGUAGACGGCUAUCUGGACCGUAACUGACGCUGAGGCGCGAAAGCGUGGGGAGCAAACAGG